UUUCUUAGCAUAAGAAUGACAUCUAUUGUUAUCUAUCUAAUCUGUCUUUGCUGUGAAGGUGUCUUCUUGUCUUUCUUCAGAUUUAAUAAGAUCUAAUUGCUUGAGGAAAGACAGCUUUACAGCCCACAGAGUAUGAGCUUGCUGGAGAAUUAAUUGAACGCCCAUUUGUUCUGCGAGUGAACACGGGCAUCGGCAAUAUGAUUGCAAAGUUCUGCAAAGGUUCCUGUCCAAAAUGGAUAUAGAAGAAAUGUGAUGUAUCCCUCUGAAACUGACAGAAGUAGGGCACAAUAUCCUCAAAACACAGCUUCUGAGAUAUGCGCACUUCAGCACAAGGCAGCAACAUAACAAAAUGGGUCUAAAUACAUUUGAAAUGCACUGAAGGCGAAAGGCAGCACAGACAAUCAAGUGAUUGAGCCAUGUAAAGACAACUUUUACCGAGUAUCAAUAUGCCAUAUGGGCACUUGUGAGGGGCAAUGGUAUGCCCAACUUAAAGGUGACUUAGUCCUGGAUUCCCAACAUUGUUCCAGAAAGCAACAAACCUCCGAAUCUCUCUG